GGGUAACCGUCGUUGCGGACAUAAAAGUCGCCCUUGAUCAGGGUGGACUAUAAACAUUAGUUCUAUCGCUUCGGCUAGAACUCGGUUCUAUCUCUUUGGCUAGAAUUCGAUUCUGUUGCUUCGGCCUGAAUCAAGUUCCGUCGCUUCGGCCGGAAUUAAUCUUGUCGCUCCGGCCUUGAUAAACACAGUGCAGUCGCUCUUGAUCAGGGUUAGACUAUAAACAGGUAGUUUCGUUGGCCUGGAACUCG
rnacentral:lncRNA from 1 species